UACGUAGGGGGCAAGCGUUGUCCGGAUUUAUUGGGCGUAAAGCGCGUGUAGGCGGCCAGGUAGGUCCGCUGUGAAAACCCGAGGCUCAACCUCGGGACGUCGGCGGAAACCAUUUGGCUAGAGUCCGGAAGAGGAGAGUGGAAUUCCCAGUGUAGCGGUGAAAUGCGCAGAUAUCGGGAAGAACACCCGUGGCGAAGGCGGCUCUCUGGGACGGUACUGACGCUGAGACGCGAAAGCGUGGGGAGCGAACAGG
rnacentral:rRNA from 1 species